rnacentral:rRNA from 1 species
UACGUAGGGUGCGAGCGUUGUCCGGAAUUAUUGGGCGUAAAGAGCUUGUAGGCGGUCUGUCGCGUCUGCCGUGAAAGUCCGGGGCUCAACUCCGGAUCUGCGGUGGGUACGGGCAGACUAGAGUGAUGUAGAGGAGACUGGAAUUUACGGUGUAGCAGUGAAAUGCGUAGAUAUCGUAAGGAAGACCAGUGGCGAAGGCGAGUCUCUGGACAGUUACUGACGCUGAGGCACGAAGGCCAGGGGAGCAAACGGG